UCCGGAGGGUGCAAGCGUUAUCCGGAUUUACUGGGUUUAAAGGGUGCGUAGGCGGGCAUGUAAGUCAGUGGUGAAAACCCGGAGCUUAACUUCGGAACUGCCAUUGAUACUAUAUGUCUUGAAUAUUGUGGAGGUAAGCGGAAUAUGUCAUGUAGCGGUGAAAUGCAUAGAUAUGACAUAGAACACCGAUUGCGGAGGCAGCUUGCUACACAAAUAUUGACGCUGAGGCACGAAAGCGUGGGGAUCAAACACG
rnacentral:rRNA from 1 species